UACGUAGGGUGCGAGCGUUGUCCGGAAUUAUUGGGCGUAAAGGGCUCGUAGGCGGUUUGUCGCGUCGGGAGUGAAAACCAUGGGCUUAACUCAUGGCUUGCUUUCGAUACGGGCAGACUAGAGGUAUGCAGGGGAGAACGGAAUUCCUGGUGUAGCGGUGAAAUGCGCAGAUAUCGGGAGGAACACCGGUGGCGAAGGCGGUUCUCUGGGCCUUACCUGACGCUGAGGAGCGAAAGCGUGGGGAGCGAACAGG
rnacentral:rRNA from 1 species